GAAGUGGUAAAACAUUUUUGUACCGUGCUUUAUUGGCCAUUGUAAGAUCUAAAGGUUUCAUAGCUUUGGCGACAUCAACUUCUGGUGUUGCGGCAUCUAUACUUCCUGGAGGACGAACAGCCCAUUCACGUUUCAAAAUUCCAAUUAAUAUUGACGAGCAGUUCUCCUGUAACAUCAAUAAUGAUGAUGAUCACUCAACUUGUAAUGUAGUAUACAAUGAGAUCAUUCAAAAAGCUUUGUUAUGAACAUAUUCCACGUGCUCCACACCAUUCAGGAGUAAAGUUAGUUGUACUGUCAAAUUUUGACAUCCAGUUAAAACCACUGUUGAAAACUCUUGAGUUGUAAUCACUGCUCAGCUAAGAGGUUAAAUAGCACAUGACAUACUUUUCGGCUAACCAACUAUAUGGACUUAGAUAGCAGCUAAUGGAAGAUUCAGAUUAGGAUAAAAGAUUAAUCAGCAUUAUAUUCCCUCUAAUGUAGCUAUGGAUGAAAGAAUUAUCAAAAAUUGUCAGCUACUUAGUGUAAUACAAUUC